rfam:Bacillus bataviensis LMG 21833 contig151, whole genome shotgun sequence.
ACGAUGUUCCGCUGCAAUGGAAAAGAAAAUAUGUGCAUGAGCAUCUG